rnacentral:rRNA from 1 species
GACGAACGCUGGCGGCGUGCUUAACACAUGCAAGUCGAACGGAAAGGCCCUGCUUUUGUGGGGUGCUCGAGUGGCGAACGGGUGAGUAACACGUGAGUAACCUGCCCUUGACUUUGGGAUAACUUCAGGAAACUGGGGCUAAUACCGGAUAGGAGCUCCUGCUCCAUGGUGGGCGUUGGAAAGUUUCGGCGGUUGGGGAUGGACGCGCGGCUUAUCAGCUUGUUGGUGGGGUAGUGGCUUACCAAGGCUUUGACGGGUAGCCGGCCUGAGAGGGUGACCGGCCACAUUGGGACUGAGAUACGGCCCAGACUCCUACGGGAGGCAGCAGUGGGGAAUAUUGCACAAUGGGCGGAAGCCUGAUGCAGCAACGCCGCGUGCGGGAUGACGGCCUUCGGGUUGUAAACCGCUUUCGCCUGUGACGAAGCGUGAGUGACGGUAAUGGGUAAAGAAGCACCGGCUAACUACGUG